CACAGCUAGCGGCGGCGAGUCUCUGAUCCCUGUGCGGUGGCAGCCGUGCUGUAAUUCGAUUCUCCUACUUGGCCACGUGAACGGUGUCAGGAGGCCGGGCCGAAGACUCCUGGUUCAGCUGACUUAGCACGGGUGCUAGGUGCGAAGGCUUCAGUGACUGCAACGCAUGGGCUCAGUAGUUGGAUCACUGGACCACCAGGGAAUCCAUGUUCCACAUUGCCGAGCUAGGCUUUGGUGCUGUGCUGUGGCUUCAUCAUCAAGAUGGCAAGCCACGAUGGGAAAGGAAGGAUUUCUAUGAUGUUGAGAGAAGAGUCAUUCAAGUGCCCUGGACUGCACACCUGAAGCAAAGAGCUGACUUUGUGUUUUUGCCCUCAGAAUGGACUAUCUCACCUUGCUAAGAAGAAAGGUUUCGGAGAGGGGUUUGACUUUUUUUCAGAUCGCAACGGUGGAUCUAUUUAAAUCCUGGAACUCUGAUGAUUGCUCCAGAAAUUCAGACAACAGAGCAUCAUCCAAAAAAGGUCAGCUUUUACUGUUAAUAUAAAACUGUGAGGCUGGUGUUUGGAUCCCUUUUCACAGAGGAGGAAACUGCGUACAAGACAUUAGAGAAGUGCCCCAAGACCAUGAUGUCGAGCUGUCAGGCCAUGAAACAUGCCUCCUAUGUCCCCGAGGGCAUUGUUCUUCCUCUAUCUGGAUAUUUGGGAAUAUCUGCUGAUAAUAACAAUUUUGUUUUUGUCAUUAGAGAUGACAGUUUUAUCAUUGUUGCUUUUGAGGAAAAAAAAAAUGAGCCAACAGAUUCAGUCACUCCUUGAAUAAUCCCUUAAAAGUGACUAUUGGAUCACACUGUUGAAAAGAGGCCAUGUAUUCAGGUCAUUAAAAAAAUAAAAAAGCUUUUAAGCUUCAAAUGGAGAAUUUAGAUCAUAAUUAUUUAGUACACAGCUAAAUUGCAACUAGAUCUAGGAAAAUAGAAUUCCUCUGCACUCAGAAUCUUGAUACAUGUUCAAUGAGGACUCUGUUCUUUUGAUUUACUUUUAUAGCUAAUAAGAUACUCAGAUAUAAUAGAGUGAUAAUAUUUGCUGAAGUAUUUCCAUUAGCAGUGCAACAUCUACUGGGGAAAAAAACUCGUUAUUCAGCCAACAUUACUGAGUACCUACUACCUGCUGGGCUAGCAUAUAGUUAUAAGAACAACAGAGCUGCUGUUUUUAAGGAGUUCACUGUUUUCUAAAAGAGACAAAUCAUUAUAAUAUAUGUACAAUUUAUGUAUAAUAAUGCAUAUACAUAAUAAACAUGUAUUAUAUUCAAGACACUGUGGGAAAAAAUUGGAAUAUUAGACUUUGGAGAUCUCUAACAAUUUUAUAGGGGAGGUAGGAUUUGAUCUAAGUCUUCUUAAAUUCCAGAAAAUACUUCACCAGGCUAAGAGACUAGAGUCUGGGGACACCUGUUAAUAUUAUACAUAGAGCAUGGCCUAAAAAUGAUUUCCAUUUAAGAAUUAAAAGCCAGAGAAAGAAAAGAAGCUUUUAUUCCCAAAGCAUGGGGGAGAACAUAGUGGAAGGUUAAUAGCAGAACAUCUGGUAAGAGUAAGACCUAGAUCCUCAGUUCACUGAGGAAAAAGCUAGUGCAGAAUGAUGGUCUAAACACAUCAAAGUCAAAUAGAAAAAUAAUUCUCCAUGUACUCACAAUUUCACCCAGAUUUGCUCAAAACUCACAACUAUGAGCAAAACUUGGCUAUAUAUAAAUACAUAAUUCUGGAGUACACACAGUAUUUUCAUUCCUUCUCCAAAAUCUAAUAAUGUUUGAGAGAAGUUUAAAUAAUACCAAAACUCUUAAUUGUUCAGAGACUAACUCAUGAGAAAUUCUCAUUUGUAUGUGGAAAACUUUUCCUUCUAGUCAUGCUCUUUGCCUAAGGAGAUUUUUUUUUAAUAAUUAAUUUUUAUUGGAGUAUAGUUGAUUUCAUUCUGUCUGUCCUCUGAUGGAUGAAGAUAAGAGGCUUAUGGAAGUUUCCUGAUGGGAGGGACUGGCUGUGGGGAAAACUGGGUCUUGCUCUGGUGGGCUCAGUAAAUCUUUAAUCCAAUUUUCUGCUAAUGGGUGGGCCUGUGUUCCCUCCCUGUAGUUUGGCCUAAGGCCAAACUAUGAUAGGGGCAAUGGCAGUAAUGGCAACUUCCUUCAAAAAGACUUAUGCCAGCACCCCGCAGCUCCCAGGACUGCUGUAGUCAGUGCCCCUGACCCCGCGGCAGGCCACACUGUUGCCCACAUCUUUGCUGGAGACUCCCAAACACUCACAGGCAAGUCUGGCUCAGUCUCUUGUGGGGUCACUGCUCCUUUCUUCUGCGUCCUGGUACACACAAGAUUUUGUUGUGCCCUCCAAGAGUCUGUUUCCCCAGUCCUGUGGAAGUUCUGAAAUCAAACCCCACUGGCCUUCAAAGUCAAAUUCCCUGGGGGUUCUCAGUCUCUUUGCUGAAUUCCCAGGUUGGGAAAUCUGUUGUGGGCCCCAGAACUUUUCCAACAGGACAAGAACCACCUUCUUAUAAAUGUUCUCCAGUUUGUGGAUCGUCAGCUCAGUGUCUCUACAGUGGAGCUAACAGGGACCUCCUCCAAGAGGACUUACAACCUCAGAUAUACAGAUGGCACCACUCUUAUGGCACAAAGCAAAGAGGAACCAAAGAGCCUCUUGAUGAAGGUGAAAGAGGAGAGUGAAAA